UACGUAGGUGGCAAGCGUUAUUCGGAUUUACUAGGCGUAAAGGACAGGUAGGUGGUUGGGUAAGUUGAGAGUGAAAUCCCCUCUUAAAGGAGGGUGGGUCUCUCAAAACUGCCCGGCUUGAGUGUAGGAGGGGGAAUCGGAAUUCCUGGUGUAGCGGUGAAAUGCGUAGAUAUCAGGAGGAACACCGAUGGCGAAAGCGGAUUCCUAUCCUAUUACUGACACUGAUCUGUGAAGGCGUGGGGAGC
rnacentral:rRNA from 1 species